rnacentral:rRNA from 1 species
UACGAAGGGGGCUAGCGUUGCUCGGAAUCACUGGGCGUAAAGCGCACGUAGGCGGAUUGUUAAGUCAGGGGUGAAAUCCUGGAGCUCAACUCCAGAACUGCCUUUGAUACUGGCGAUCUUGAGUCCGGGAGAGGUGAGUGGAACUGCGAGUGUAGAGGUGAAAUUCGUAGAUAUUCGCAAGAACACCAGUGGCGAAGGCGGCUCACUGGCCCGGUACUGACGCCGAGGUGCGAAAGUGUGGGGAGCGAACAGG